CGCAAGGCUCGUAACACCUUGAUGAUGCUUGUUGCGUGGGAAAUCUGGAACGAACGCAACGCGGGGAUCUUCCGCAACACCGCCGCCCCUACUACCGUCGUCAUCGCCAAGAUUAAGGAUGAAGCCUCUCUUUGGGCUCGUGCGGGUGCGAAGUAUUUGAGUAAUAUUAUUGCCGCGAGAAUAAUUUGUAAUCGCCCGCUUGGCGGAACCAUGUCUACUCCUCUUCUUAAUCUAUACUUCUAUACUACUAUUAAACAAGCGAACAUUAUUUUUCCUAAGCGCACCCCCUCUAAUGUACACAGAACAAGACGGCAGAAUUAA
rnacentral:rRNA from 1 species